AGAGCCCCGGCCAGCAGAACUGCCCACGAGACAGGAGCAGUUCCAGACAAACCCCGAUAGCUACAACGGGGCCGUGCGAGAGAAUUACGCCUGGUCCCAAGACUACAGCGACCUGGAGAUUAAAGUGCCGGUGCCCAAGCACAUCGUCAAAGGCAAACAGGUGGCUGUGGAUAUCAGCAGCGGCGCAAUUCGCGUAGCGGUGCUGGAGGGCGGCAGCCAGCGCGUCCUCAUGGAAGGGAAACUCACGCACAAGAUCAACACGGAGAGUUCCCUCUGGAGCCUGGAGCCGGGCAAGUGCGUUUUGGUAAGGGGCCUCUGCUCCGGCUGGUGUCUCUGCGCCUUUGCUCGCAGCUCCUCCCGCCUCGAGCUGGAAAACUGGAGCAGUUGCAAGUUAGAGCUAGAUCCAGACGUGCCCCACACUAUGUUUCCCUAACUCUCCGUCCCUCUCGGUCUGCCAUUGCCCAUGUGCUUCCCUGUUGAGGUGGUUCAGGGGAUGUUGCUGUCCAUUCGCUCGGUACCGGUGGGUACUCGGUACUGCGAGCCAGCAGGCCAGGCUGAGUGGCGUGAUUUCUGCUGUCUGGUGGGCCGUGUCCCCAGGGCUGUUCCACCCUGUUGAAGUUGUCAUGGAGCAGCAGAUGGAUACCCAAAGCCAAGCGCCUGCAGGGUGAAAUCAGGUGGGAAUUUCCUGCUGGAUGCAGAAGUCUUGAGGGAGGCAUGCGGAGAUGCUUUGCAGGUGCUGCCUGGCCGCUCCAGAUCAGUACGGACAUACCCUGGGACAAAUGACCUGAUGGCAAGAGCGUGAAGUUACUGCGAGAGAGAAGAGCUUCUCCAAAGCUGGUAGGCCGUUGAGAGGGCAUGAAACAGGAGGUGAUGGCGUCAUCAGCUUGCAUUUUUCAGACGUUCUUAAGCUUCUUGAAAGUUAGCUGAUCAGGAAGAUAACCCUGGGGAAGGAGGAAAGCCAUCCAAGUGGAACUGCCCCGAAGGGCGGCUGCUCUGCAGGGCGAAUGGUAAUUCCGGCUGCGUGUUCCCAGGAUCAGCAAGGGAGGCAAUGUUUAUUAAAUAUCCAGCUCCGGAGGAGGAUGGGAAGAGCGCGCGGGUGGAGCGAGACUCGAGGCCUUCUGGAGCGUCCACGGACGGUGAGGGGAGUCGUCCCGUUAUCUCCAACCGGAGCUGGCUCUUGCCUCAAAUUAGCACGAGCGCAGGGUUGUGAGGAUCUCCAGCUGGCUGCCAACAUAUUGAUGGUGGGAUGAAAUUUCGCUUGAAGAAUUGUAAGGUAACUGGAGCAGAGUGAGUAAUUCUCACCCGAGAGCGUCUCCUUUUCCCAUGCGCAGAGUAGCCGAAAGUGGUUUGCGGUUCCUUUCGAUUCAUUCAUCAACAGACAUCCAACCGUUUGUUAAUGAGUCGCUUCACUUCAGCUCUUGGGAGGGGAUUCGUACGUGAGCCAUUCAGGUUCGGUUAUAGCAGCAGGAACUGUGGCGGACGAGGGCGUACGGGCCCUUCCCCUCCCAGAAUUUGCACCUCUGCGUGGUACGCAGCUCCCGGUGAACUCCCAGCGUGGCGGUCGGGAGUUUCCCCUUCCCACGGGCUGCAGCAAGGUGCCAACUUCUCUCACCUGGGACCAAGAAGACGACAUCUCCCAGCAGAGUCGGGGCUGUGGCCAAGAUCGGACUCGCAAAGUGCCAGCGGUGGAGUCACCCAAGGAGAUCCCGACCUUCUUGGGAAGUGUCGCUGCUUGGGGCACCUCAGAGGCUCCAGCCCUGGAGAAAAACCUGUGAGCGCUCGAGUUUCUUGGUCCUUUAAACAAGAGAGUCCCUUCAAGCCAAGCCCAGUCCGUGCACUGAUACUCCAUGGAGCAAAAUCUCUCCUGCUUGGUCUUGUCCCUUGCGAAAGUCUCUCCUUGCUGCGGGUAUGCUGACCACGUGCAGCAUUUUCACGGAGACCGUCGGGUCCCAUAAGCUGCUGCCGGAUGCAUCGAGAGUCAUCAGGAUCCGUGCGCCCUUUGGGUGGUCGUUACAGGCGCAUUUUGCUGGCUUCACUGGCCUGCGUUCUCCCCCCGGCUCUUAACGAGCAGCUGAGGUUAAUUUGCCUUUUAACCCCUCCUGGCUCUGCUUUCCCUCUCCUAUCUGGUGUCCCUAUCGAUUUCUCCUCCUCGCCAGGCAUCUCCCCAUCGUCCACGUAGCCCUCAGCGCCUCCCCUCUUCUGGGGACCGCUCUGCCUUUCUCCUCCUCCUCUCCGUGCUGCCCACGUGUCCUGCUUAAUGAGAUUCACCCUGCCGCUGGCUGGGCUGAGCAUCGGCAUAUUUUUCAUCUCGCCCUUUGGCACGCUUGCGCCUUGCGCCAGAGUCCGACCAAGGGAGAAAGCCGGCGGACGUCAUUUCGAAGGCCAAUGCUCUGCCGAUCCCUAUGACAGUUGGCAGGUGCCCUGUUCCCACCUCUGCUGGCUUGGGAUUGCGUCCCCGGCUUGUCCCGCUGCCUUAGGCGCCUUGCUGAAGCCCCCCGUCCUGAGUACGAUCCCUGCGUGCUCCCUUCUCCGUUACACCCGCUCGCUUGUCAAAAGCGAGAUUAAAAUAGAUUCGCAUGAGCUCGUUUUAGAAAUCUCCGCUGGGUGUUGUGCACAAUGCGUUUUGGGAUUAUUUUCGUUGUUGAGGGUUUUUUUUUUUCUUCCCCCUCGUUCUCUCUCUUUUUCUCCUCCUCUCCAACAUUUGUUAUCCCCACUCGGGUUUUUGUCACCAAGUCCUGCCUUGAACAGCUAUUAAAGCCUUCAGCUUGUCACCCUGUGAGCUGCGAGGCCAAGUUAAUAAUAAGCUGCGGUGCUCUCCCUUCUCCCUAACCUCCCCAUGUUGUCGGAAACGCUGCCUGCUGCUUUCUUAGCACCCCAAAACGGCUCCUGGCCCCUGCUGACGUUUGGGGGCGACUGUUGCUGUUGCUGCUUCCCCAGAGAAGGAGGUGGCAAGAGGCCGGUUUUCCAAGUCCC